rnacentral:rRNA from 1 species
UACGGGGGGAGCAAGCGUUGUUCGGAUUUACUGGGCGUAAAGGGCGCGUAGGCGGUAGCACAAGUCAGUUGUGAAAUCUCCGGGCUUAACUCGGAAAGGUCAACUGAUACUGUGCGACUAGAGUGCAGAAGGGGCAACUGGAAUUCUCGGUGUAGCGGUGAAAUGCGUAGAUAUCUGGAGGAAUACCGGUGGCGAAGGCGGCAUCCUGGACCGACAUUGACGCUGAUGAGCGAAAGCUAAGGGAGCAAACGGG